rnacentral:rRNA from 1 species
UGCGGAGGGAUCAUUACUGAGCGAGGGCCCCGGGCCCGACCUCCAACCCUUUGUGAACACAUCUCGUUGCUUCGGGGGCGACCCUGCCGUUCCGACGGCGGGCGCCCCCGGAGGCCCUCCCACCCUGCAUCUCUGCGUCGGAGUUCGAGUAAAUUGAACAAAACUUUCAACAACGGAUCUCUUGGUUCUGGCAUCGAUGAAGAACGCAGCGAAAUGCGAUAAGUAAUGUGAAUUGCAGAAUUCAGUGAAUCAUCGAAUCUUUGAACGCACAUUGCGCCCUCUGGUAUUCCGGAGGGCAUGCCUGUUCGAGCGUCAUGUCACCACUCAAGCUUGGCUUGGUGUUGGGCGCCGCGGUCCCGCCGCGCGCCUCAAAGUCCCCCGGCUGAGCCGUCCGCCUCCAAGCGUCGUGAUUUCAUUAAUCGCUUCGGGGCGCGGGCGGCCGCGGCCGUUAAAUCUCGUCACUGGUUGACCUCGGAUCAGGUAGGGAUACCCGCUGAAC